AACUUCAUAGUUUAUAAAAAACAUAAAAUUGCAAAUUUUAAAAAGAAUAAUUUCUGAAGUUU
rnacentral:tRNA from 1 species